CCAGCAGCCGCGGUAAUUCCAGCUCCAAUAGCGUAUAUUAAAGUUGUUGCAGUUAAAAAGCUCGUAGUUGAAUUUCGGGAUCAACAUGUCGGUCGUGCCUCUGGUACGUACUGGUAUCGUUGAUUUCUACCUUCUGACGAACUAUGAUGUCAUUAAUUUGGUGUCAUGGGGAAUCAGGACUGUUACUUUGAAAAAUUAGAGUGUUUAAAGCAGGCAUACGCUUGAAUACAUUAGCAUGGAAUAAUGAAAUAGGACGUUUGACCCUAUUUUGUUGGUUUCUAGGGAUCUACGUAAUGAUUAAUAGGGAUAGUUGGGGGCAUUAGUAUUCAAUUGUCAGAGGUGAAGUUCUUGGAUUUAUUGAAGACUAACUACUGCGAAAGCAUUUGCCAAGGAUGUUUUCAUUAAUCAAGAACGAAAGUUAGGGGGAUCGAAGACGAUCAGAUACCGUCGUAGUCUUAACCAUAAACUAUGCCGACUAGGGAUCGGAUGAUGUUAAUUUUUAAUGACUCAUUCGGCGCCUUACG
rnacentral:rRNA from 1 species